rnacentral:lncRNA from 1 species
UGGAGACCAGGUUUCGUGAAAGUUAAACACUGCAUAUCAACACAUACAUUCCAUACCAAUUGUCAAACACAGUGGUGGAGACAUGAUGAUUUGGACUUGUUUUGCAGCAACAGGACAUGGAACCUUGUAGUCAUUAAGUUGUCCAUGAACUCCUGUAUACCAAAGAAUUCUAUAGUUAAAUGGAAGGCAAUCUGUAUGAGAGCUAAAGGUUGGCUGAAAUUAGAUCAUGCAACAGGAUAAUGAUCCCAAGCACACCAGCACAUCUACAACAGAAUGGCUGGAAAAGAAAAGAAUAAAGGUGUUGCAAUGGCCCAGUGCAGACCUCAACCCAAUUGAAAUGCUGUAGCUGGAUUUUAAGAGAAUAUAUCUAUACAAUGCAUCUAAAAAGCACAACAGUAUAGUAAAUGCAUAAAUUUAUUGAUACAAUAAAAAGUUGCAAAGUAAUCUAUGCAUGUAAAUACACAGAGAAAAUUGAGAACAAUAAAAUAGUUAAAAUGCAAAAUUAUAUAUUGCAAAAGUUAAAUAUAAAUAAGGAGCUUUAAGAGAAUAUAAACACAUGCCAGCAAACCUUAAUGAACUGAUGUUACGUUGUAAAGAAGAGUGGGCCAAAAUUCCUUCACAAGAUGUGAGAGACAGAUAGUCAUAAAGAAAAUGAUUACUUCAAGCUAUUGCUGCUAAAGGUGGUUCUUCUACAUGCUAUUGAAUCUUAAGAUGUAGUUAGUUUUUACACACAUGGCAUGUUGAUUUUGCCUUUAUUUGUAAAGUAAAUAAAGACAUGGUGUAAUAUGUCUUGUGUUGCUCAUAUGAUGUUUUAUUUACCUAAUUUUAAGACCUACUAAGGAACAUAUUUUUGUUAACCCCUUAAGACCGCAUGGCGUUCUAUGCUGUCUCUAUUUGGGGCGGUCUUGCCUCCCAUGUGGCCGGCGGCACAUGGCCGCUGCAGAUCGCGGUUGGGGAGCAUGCCUGCAACCCCCCUGUGCCCGGGGACCGCGGUCUGCAGCUUCCGAUCGCAGUGACAGGCUGUCACUGCAAUCGAUAUUUACCAUGUGUCAGCCAAUUUUAAAAUCGUCUGACACAUGGAGCCGCAGCAUUUUCACUCUGCAGAUCGCGGUCGGGGGACAUGCCUUGCCCCCAGGCAGUCCCCCUGCUGUCAGUGACCGCGAUCUGCAGAGUAUGAUCGCAGUGACAGGCUUUCUCUGCGAUCUGAUCGCAGAGACAGCCUCUCACUGAGAUCUGAUCACAGUGACAGCCUGUCACUGCGAUCAGAGUUACUAAUAGGCUGACAUAUGUAACUACAGGCAGGAUCCCCUUGCAGAUCGCGGUGGGGGGCAUGCCUGGCCACCCAGGCACUCCCCCUGUGGCCAAUUACCGCGAUCUGCAGGAGGUGAUCACAGUGACAGCCAGUCACUGUGAUCACUGAUCCUGUGUGUCAGCCAGUGAUGUAAAAUCACUGUCUGACACUGUCUCUGCCCCUCUCCUGUUAAAAAUAAAAUAUAAGUAAAAUAUACUUAGAUCAUAUAUAUAUAUUAUAUGUAUGAUCUAAGUAUAUAUAUAUAUAUAUAAAUAUAUACACACACACACACAUUUACACAUACACUGUCUAAGU